UUCUUCACACCAUCAAAACCAACAUCGUCGAAUUCAUUUCCCUUGUCACCACCAAGGGGUCCCAUCUUUCCAGGGAUAACAGGUCUAGGACCGCCUCCAUCGUUACCAGUUCCAGAGCCAACAGGUUUAGUACCAGCUCCGUCUUCGCCGGUUCCGUGGCCACCAGGUUUAGUACCGGCUCCGUCUUCUCCUGUCUCAAGGCCACCAGGUUUUGUACCGGCUCCGUCUUCGCCGGUUCCAGAGCCA
rnacentral:lncRNA from 1 species